UUCAUAUGAGGAAGUAAGUACCAUCUGCUUUCGCAGAGAUCUACAUUUGAUUCACGUUUCCGAAUGUGAAGCACUUUCUCUUCUCUCAUUAAUCUUCUACUUCUUAUUAGCCACACUUUUACAACGAUUGUAAAACAUAGUUGCUAAUACGAAAUCAAGCAUUCAAGUAGAAGAACCAACUGUUUUGAACUUUUCAAGAACAAUUUACAACACCUUCGAAAGGUGUG
rnacentral:lncRNA from 1 species